GAUGAACGCUGGCGGCGUGCCUAAUACAUGCAAGUCGAGCGAACAGAUGAGGAGGUUGCUCCUCGGACGUUAUCGUCGGACGGGUGAGUAACACGUGGAUAACUUACCUAUGAGACUGGUAUAACUUCGGGAAACCGGAGCUAAUACCAGGUAAUAUAUUGAACCGCAUGGUUCAAUAAUGAAAUACGGUUUUGCUGUCACUUAUAGAUGGAUCCGCCCCGCAUUAGCUAGUUGGUAAGGUAACGGCAUACCAAGGCCACGAUGCGUAGCCCACCUGAGCGGGUGGAUGGCUAGCCGAGCAGUGAGACAGGGCGCCGACUUCUGAAGUAGGACGCAGUAGGGACUCCUACGGGAUGGGGGAAAGGCUAAUAGAGCAACGUCGGGUGAAGGAUGAAGGACCUACGCUGCGUGAACGAUGUUAUUAGGGGAGAAGAAAUGCGUAAGCAACUAUGAACGUAUUGACGGUACCUAACCAGAAAGCCCCGGCUAACUACGUG
rnacentral:rRNA from 1 species